rnacentral:rRNA from 1 species
UACGUAGGGGGCUAGCGUUGUCCGGAAUUAUUGGGCGUAAAGAGCUCGUAGGCGGUCCGUCACGUCGGAUGUGAAAUUCCAGGGCUCAACCCUGGACCUGCAUUCGAUACGGGCGGACUAGAGUUCGGUAGGGGAGACUGGAAUUCCUGGUGUAGCGGUGAAAUGAGCAGAUAUCAGGAGGAACACCGGUGGCGAAGGCGGUUCUCUGGGCCUUACCUGACGCUGAGGAGCGAAAGCGUGGGGAGCAAACAGG